CAGCCGCCGCGGUAAUACGGAGGGUGCAAGCGUUAAUCGGAAUUACUGGGCGUAAAGCGCACGCAGGCGGUCUGUCAAGUCGGAUGUGAAAUCCCCGGGCUCAACCUGGGAACUGCAUUCGAAACUGGCAGGCUAGAGUCUUGUAGAGGGGGGUAGAAUUCCAGGUGUAGCGGUGAAAUGCGUAGAGAUCUGGAGGAAUACCGGUGGCGAAGGCGGCCCCCUGGACAAAGACUGACGCUCAGGUGCGAAAGCGUGGGGAGCAAACAGGAUUAGAUACCCGCGUAGUCCCUGUCUCUUAUAC
rnacentral:rRNA from 1 species